rnacentral:lncRNA from 1 species
UCACAUCACAAUUAUAAUAUUCGAUUAGAAUCCACUCCCCAUUGUCCAUAUGAUUCACAUUUUUCUUCACUCUCAAUACUUCAAUUCUUUAAUUAAACAUUACAAAGCUUUUUAAGUGCUCUUCUGCCGACAAUUUUCCACUCUUUGGCCCUAUAAAAUCUCUCAACCCUUAUCUUUCAGUCUGUACCAAGAAAUCACCUGAGAACUAUCUCUUUCUUCAUUCCAUUCUCCUCAAGUUCGUCUUAAAGCCCUCUUGAUCUUAUCUUUAUUCGGCACGAACGGAUACAAAAAAUCAUCUGAACCUAGCAGUCGACCGAGACUCUUUCAAGCUAACCUAUCCCAACAGCCACUCCUGUCAGUUUUCGACUAACUCAAUGGCGAAAAAAGUUGAAUAUCCGAGUUGGAUUGAGGUUGCACCACCACUUAUUAUUUCCCCAAAAAAGACCUCCAAUUCUCCUACCCUUGAGACAAUUAUAGAAGAGGAUUCUGCAGAGAAUUGUGAAGAUGAUGUGAGUUCAGGAGUGUUGGAACUACUUGAAUUUCUUAGCAGCUUAUAAGUAGCUUUUUCAAUUAAGGGUUCAAUUAAUCAUGUAUUCAACAGGCAGGCUUCAGUAAACAAUCGAAGUGUACGUUUUGUUAAAUCAGUCCUUAUUAACAUGUAUAUGAGUUCGGAUGGAUGUAUUUCAGUGCUUUGACGAUUUUGUAUCAUAAAUUAAGAGGAAAUUUAGUUUUGUUAUUUUAGGCGAUAUAUAGUCAAAGCAGAAACUGGCCGAUAAACUUCUAUAAAAUAAUUUCACGGAUUCUGGAAGAAUCUUUUAUUAAUUUAAUCAGAGAAUGAGGACUUAGCGUUGAGGUUUACUUUUGAUUAACAUAGGGCUUUUGGUGUUGUGGGUUUUUUUUUUUUUUUUUUAAAUUAAAAUAUGUAAAACUUUGGAGUUUUUCCAAUUCUUUCUACCCAAUUUCGAUAUUAAUUUCUCUGUCCAAUUUUGAUGUUCAUUUUGAGCUAAUGAAUUUGACAAAUCAAGAUCUAAUAUUUGGUAUCAUUGACGAAUGAACGAAUAUUUAAUUUUUAAAUUUGCAACAUUCUCAUCAUAUUCAACACGUUUUGAACUCAUUAUUCAUUCACGUAAAACUUUUCUUGCUGCAUUCCACAAGAAGACAUUCACGGCAACUUUGAUACAUUCAAUGUAUUGUAGUAAACUACUUAUAUUUGAUAAAUAAAUAAAAGACAUUCACGGCAACUAUUAUUUAUUGAACAUAUUGUAGUUAACUGCUUAUAAUUUGUUGGGUGCAAUAAAGAUGCUCUUAAACUCAUGUAUUGGGUCACUUAGAUGAUGGUGAUCAAAUGAAAUAAAUGGUUCACUCUGUCCUCAAUAUACCAAUUAAUUUUUAGAUGAAAUUGUGAAACUCGAUCGUAAAAAGUGACAUAAGAGGUAGAGUCAUUGGUUUCAAGUCGUAAGAGCGUCGCAUUGAGGGAGAGAUUGUAGGGGUGUAAUAAGGUCUCUCUUAUGCCUAUAAGUUGAAUCGCUCAAAUGAUCGAGAUUGAAUAUCAUGAAAGGUUUAGCCUUCUCUCACUGGACAUCUAUUGAUUUUCUGAUGAGUGGUUGAAACUCAAUCGUGACAGUUGUUUUUUAUUUUAUUAAAUUACUAUUUUUAAUUUUCUUAAUUGAAUUGAAUUAGUGGUAGGCAUAAAUGGACUCGGUAGAGUCUGUGAGCAAAUAUAUGUCUGAUUUAGCAAUAUGUUCGACAUAUGUUCUAACUCACUAGGAGCUAGAUCAACUCGAUCAUAAUCUCUACUUUUAAGUUAUCAUUAUUUUCGUAUUGUUCUGUUAUGUAAAUACAAUUUUAUGGUAAAAAUUAUUAUCUUGUGUACGUGCUAAUGUUUAUUAAUAUCUUUUUUAUUUCAUUUAGGAAGAAAGACUUGAGGAAAUUAAUGUAUAUUAAACUCAAAGCUGCUAUAGAUACACUUUCAUGUACAUUAUAUAUUACAUUCUUUCAAGUGACAUGAUUUACACCUUUGAUUUUCUUUUCACUUUUUUCAUUAAUGCACAUAUUCACUUAGGAGUAACGAAAAACUAAGACUUCUAAGUAUGAUUCCAUUCCUCUACAUUUCAAAAUGACAAGAAACCAGGAAAUUUACUUAGUUGAUUUUGAAUUUAUUUUUAUUUUUAUUUUAAGGUAGAAUUUCAAAAUACUUGAGACAUUUAUAUAUAUAAUGUUUAUUGUAGUGAAUAAUUUAUUUGUGACAUGGAGAUCCAUGGAUGUACCUUUAGGGAUUUAUCGCGUUAUAUUUUGUGUUUAAUUUUAGGGAUAAAAACUAGUAUUCUAAAAUUUUAGUACUUGAUUACAAGCUAACUUUGAUGUAUUCAUCACUAUACAUACUAUUUUUUUCUUGUUUAUGUGGACGUCUUACUCAUUGAAUCAUUAUUCAUUACAUUCUCGUUUAAUUGUUUGUUUUUUAACAUUGUACUCUUUUCUUGUUAUGACAUUGAGAUAGGAAAGUCAAACAAAAGUGAUCUAGUCUAUGCUUAUAUGCAGGAUUGAUGAAAUUGGAUAUGAAAUUCAGUGUAGAAAAACUGAAGAACAUGAAAUUAAUAUGAAUGUGAUUUGAUUGUUUCAGUAUGGCACUCCUAUUUAUGAGAAACCAACUAGACUGUCUAUUUCUCUGAAUCGAUUCGGUUUUAGUUGGAUUUUCCAUUCAAUACAAAAUUUAUUAUAAUCUAGUGGAAUAAUUUGAUCUAAUCCGAUUCGAUCCAAUAAGAAUAAUUCAUGAAUUCAAUCCGAUCUGAUUCGAAUUUAUUAUGUUAUCGGAUAUCAGAUCUGAAAUAUUUUACACAUUCUUUUUAUUGGAAAGAGGGUAUCCUCCAGCUCAAUACAAAAUUUAUCAUCAUGUACAUAUUAAUUUUAUAUUGAAAUUUAAUAGGUUUGACAUUUCAAUUAAAAGUUAUAAAGUGUAAUACAAAUUAAAAAAAAAAAAAAUUAUGGGUAAUAAAUUAUUUGAUAAUAGUUAAUGAAUUAUUGGAUUCGAAUCUUACUCGAAUUAUCGAACAGAGAUUUUAAAUCUAUCUUCAUUAAUUUCAUCGGAUUCGGACCAGGAUCAAAAUCUAAUACAUUGAUAGAUCUAGUUGUAUAUAGUGUUGGCAAUUUCCCAUGAGUUGUGCUCUUCAAAAACUCAAAACUGUCUUUGGUUGUAUAUAGAGUGUCAUAAUAUUUCGGCGAAAAUUAGUAGUCUGACAGGGUUCGAAUUCAGGGAAGGGUUGUACCAGUCUACAGACGGGUCCAAGUCUAGCCCAAUUCCCAUAAGUAAAGGAGAAAUUCUCAUUUCUUAACAUAUAGCCCAUGUCACAAAAAAUUCAGCCCGCAAAGUCCCAGCCCAAAGACCAAAUUGACUUAACAUAAUUGCAUAUUGACUUUCUUAGCCCCUGUUUGGUUCCGUUGAAAAGCUUAUUAAAAAUUAAGUCAAAUUCAACAAUUAAGUUUUAAUCAAACACUUUAUGGAAUUCGUUUUCAACCAUAAAUUUCAUUAACUUUUAUCAAAAUUCACUAAAAAUCGUAUAUUUAUCUAAACGAAACAUUGGCUUAAUUUUAGCCAUGGCACCAUAAAUUCUUAGAUCUGCUCUUGAGUGGAGGUUGUCUAUGCAAUCUUAGCCCCGUUAAAAUUUUAAUAAAUUUUUUCUUUCUUCUUUUCAAUCACACAUACUCUAAUGAAAUAAUAUUAUAUGUAAAUAAAAAAAAAUUCUUCUUUUUUAACAACUUAAUCUUCAAUAAAAAAAAAAAUACUAUUCCAAAAAUUAUAAUCUUAUUUAAUGGGGGUCCAAACGGGAGCUUAAUAUUCCUAUAGACGGCUCAAUUAGGUAUGGAGCUUGAGAACCGCAAUAAUAAUAAUAAUAAUAAAUCCUAAGCACCGAUGUUUAACAUAAGUUAAGCACCAAUGACAUGACACACAUAGCCGGACCUGAGACAGUGGAGGAAAUGAUCAAGAGGCCACUGCCUCAGGUCCAACUCUUCAAGGGGCCCAAAAUUUUUUUAUUUCUUUGUUUAAAACCCACUAAUCUCCCUCAAUUCAAUUAUUCAGCAGCAUUGUUGAAGAAAUUAAAACCUAGAUGGCUUGAGCCUUGAGACAUCUUCAUAAAUUACUUAUAAUAGGUUGUUUUCUUGGGUCAAUGGGUGUUUACUGACGAGGCUCCUCUCGAACAUGUCAGAGAAUCUCCCUAAAACUCUCAAGAAUUUCAUAACUGAACUCUAACAUUUGUCUUCAAUCUUCAUCACACUCAACUAAUGGUUUGUUUCCUAUCUUUUUUACAUUAUAAUAUGUGUUUUAUUGGCCAUAAUUAAUCUUAAAUAUUGACAAAUUGAAAAUAUGGAUUUUUAAAAUUUUUAAUGGUUUAUUUUUCAUAGGAAAAUUGCUUGCUAUUAUAAUUUGUCUUCUAUUAUUUUAAGAGUGUACUUGAGAUUUAUUAUAUUUUUUUUUAGAUAAAAAAAUGGCAGUAGAGUAGUGUGAUUAUGUGAAUUGUAGCUUAAGAGGAUUUAUAGUACAUUUUGUUCCUUUUCCCCUUCUUUUUGAUUAGAUGAUAUUCAGUCCUCUCUGUGAAUUUUUUAAUUCUAAGUUAUGCAAUGGGAUCGUAGUUUUGCAAUUAGAUAAUCCUUCUCUUGAUUGAUGUACUAUGGAAAAUUUGAUGGCAAGUAUGAAACAAUGAAGGGGAUUUUAAGUCUUUGCUUAGAGUUUAAAUUAAGAGUGGCUUCUAUACUUUCAAUUUUGACUUUAUCAUUGGUGGCCUAGCGAUGAGGAAGACUAAGGUCGAAAUACUUUAUAUCUAACUCCAGAAAUGGAAAUAUAGGCUGUAAAAUUGUAUAAAAAUUAAGAGUAUGGAUUAGAGAUUCUUUUUCUCAUGAAGAGAAAACAAAUGUGAUGCCCAUACAAAAUGAGAAAAUAAGGGCAAAUGGCCAUUUUUCCACUUUGGCCUUUGAUCAACUAAUAGCAUUAAAAAAAUGUAAAAAAAUAAAAGUUUGGAAACUAAAACUCGAAAAUACCCCUAAAAUCCAAGAAGGAAAUUCACGUUCAUUCUCUACCUUACACACAGUCUCAAACAGUCGACUUCUAACAGUCUUACCGACGACACCGAUCAGCGCCGACACCAUAGUUCAACCACACCGACAGUAGUAUUAAAUGUUAGCUUUUGUAAUAAAUAUGGAAUGGAUUGAACUUAUGAAUGAAUGAAAAUUUAUUUACAUUUAGAGGUAGAGAUGCGUGAUUAGAUUAGAAUAUGGAAAAAAAAAUUAUGUUUCAAGGCCCAAUUUGAUAGCUCAGAUGUCGAAAAUGGCAAUUUUUUUUCACCAUUUUCGACGAUUGGGGAAGAAGGCUACCAGUCGCCAACUGUUAACAGUCUUAGGCCGACUGUUAAGACUGUUUGGGCUUUUUUUUUCAUUUUAUUAAUUAAAUAUAUUAAUUAUUUUUUAAAUUUAAAUUUAACAAAUAAAUUAAAAUUUUUAAUUUAAUUCUUUUUUUUCUUUUUUAUGCAUGAAAUUCAUUUGAAUUAAAAAUAUUUAUGUUUAUAUUAAAAAUUCAUUUAUAAAUUUUUUAAAUUUAAUUCUCUUUUUUUAAUUAAAAAUUCAUUUUUUAAACAAAUAUUUAAUUUUUCAAUUUUAAUUGAAUAAUAAGUAUAUUAUUUAUAUAAUUUCCUUUUGUUUAGUUUUAAUUUUAAAUAUUAUUAUUUUUUUUUUUUUUUUUUUUUUUUUUUUUUUUUUUUUAAUAUUUUUUUUUUUUUUUUUUUUUUUUUUUUUUUUUUUUUGGUAAUAGGGUAAAAAAAAAUUUAUUAAUUGUUUUAUUCUUAUUAUAAUUUACUUAUUAAAAUACAUUUUAAUAUCUUUUUGCAUUAUUUUUAUAGUUUUUAUAUUUUCUGAAAUUAUUUUGUUAGCUUAAUAUACAUUUGUUAAUUUGUAUGUGUUUCUCUAAUUUUUUCUUUAUUUUUUUAUGUUUGUCAUUUUUCUAAAUCAUUUAUUAGAUGAAUCUACAUAUUAAUUAGAUGAAUCUACAUGUUAACAAUCUGGUUCGAUCAAUGUCUCGUUACUAUGUUUUAUUCCAUUGUACAAUGUUCUAACAUUCGAUUUUUUGUAGGAUGAAUUACCAUCUACAACAAAGUUGAGGUAGAUGCCGGGGAAAGCUACAUGGAAUAGUAGCUUCGACAGUUUUACUAUAGUACUGGAGCUGCUGGAAAAUCAGCACACAAAUAUCUUACGCCAGUCCUUCCUCUGGCCCCUAUAUCAGUUGAGGGAGGUGCAGUACUCUGGGCAGAUUAUCGACGCAUCGCUAUGUGGGUUGUUGAGUCCGGUCGACGGCGAUGCACUCCACUCCGACCUCGGAUGCAAGUUCGCCAAUUUCUCUAUGUUCGAGUUUACCUUGAUCACUGGAUUGAAAAUUACUGGCAAUGAGCCAACUCGUGACAGUACUAAGAGAGUCAACAGGCUGCACGACACUUACUUCCAUGGACAGGGGACAAUACUUCUACCGCAGUUGAUCGAAGCGAUGAGGGAGUGUGACCAGAUGUUAGACAGACUAAAGUUAGGUCUAGUAUACAUCCUUGAGUCCGUGGUGCGGUGUCAUCACAAGAAGACUACAAUCGACCUUUUUCAUUUGGAGAUUGUCGACGACAUAGAUGACUUCAACAACUAUCCAUGGGGCUGGAGAUUUUUCGAGGACAUCGUAUACCUCUUCAUUAGAUCACACUCAAAGCCCAAGGGCUAUGCGCAAGUACGAUGCCUACAGAUUGCCUCUGGCAGUACCGGUACAUGUUUACCUAAUUAACGUCAAAAUAUUUAUACUAUUGAAUUUAUAUAUAAUAAUUGUAUAUGUUGCAAAUUUGGGCGUAUGAGACUGUCUCCCUAUUUAGUCGCUUUUCGAAGUGAUUGGAGACACGAUGCCCUCGAAUGCAUCAUUAGAGAGUAUCACGAGCGAACGGGUAUCCGUCUGGAAGACAGUUAUCGACUAUCCCCGACGACCCUCAUGUGAGUAUUAUGCACUUUGUAAUUUAUAUUAUACGUAGUUUAAAAUCACAUUAUGUAAUCGUUAACUAGUUGAAAUGUCAAUAUGUCAGGUCGAUGUCAUAACUGAGUUGAUAUCAUCGGUGGAGAAGGAGGGUCAAGGGCUGGUGCAUGAGGUGCGUAAAUUUCAUAUAAUUUAUUGAUUAUAUUUUUUUAUGAGUUACAAUUAUUAAUUAAGUUAAUAAUUUGUAAUGUUAUUUGUGUAGGAGCACGGUCCAGUUGAUCGAAGAUCGCCUCAGUCGAGGGCAUCUCCUCUGUCGAUGGCAUCACCUCCGUUGAGAGUAUCACCUUCUCCCCCAUCGAGACCCAUCCCCCGUGGAUCUCUUGCACACAUUCAAGGUUAUGGGAUCGAUGAUCUGUAUGCCCGCCUGAUCGGAUUCAUAGCAAAUGUGGAGCGACAAUUGAUGGGGAGGGUUGACAAUAUGGAGUGACAGUUGAAUGAAAGGGUCGACGACUUGUCCUACGAUAUUAAACUGUUAUGUAGUCACGUUGUAUCCCUCCAGGAUGAGGUCACGACACUCCGAGGUGAUAUUCCUGGUAGGUAAUGGACUAACAAAUAUGGUGGCGAAGAGGGGGGUCACCCGCAAUUUUGGAUAAAUGAUGCAUUAGAAUAAUUUCUAUUAUUUGUGGAGCGAGAUCGGGUGACCCCGAUGGGGCAGGAGAGGCGAGGAUGGAGGAGAUGAUGGAGGCGCUAGAGCGGAUGGGGACGGGAAAGACGACGGGAGAGAAGAGGGUGACGGAGGGGGUGAGCCCAAUGGAUACAGGAAAGGCAACUGGAGAAGAGGCAAUGGGAGAGGAGAAGGUGACGGAGGUGGUGGCCCAGAUGGGGAUGGGAGAGACGGUCGAGGAAGAGAGGGUGACUAGGGUGACGGUCCCCGAGGUAGAAGAGGGCAGUAUUUAGGAAAGGAAGCCCAUCGUGACCGAGGGUAAGAAGUGUGUUGUUGACAUGACGGAGCAGGCAAUCAGCAAGAGGCCGAGAUUGCCAUCGGAGUAUGUCGUUUCUCCCUUCACGGUCGAGACGAAGAGGAGGAGGUUCGUCGACGGGACAAUUCCCAACCUAUUUCGGGAGGUGAAGAUUAUGUUCGCUGAGUUUAUUAUAUAUGUGUACGACCCCGAUCAUUCAUAUCUGAUACAGGAUUAGCUCGAGCAAAAUCCAAAAUCCAUCGUUGUUUUCAUCUCUAUCUAGAUGGACGAGCUUGACUGUGCAAGACAGAUUAGUCAUCGUGCGGGAUACGACGAGGACGAGGCAGACAAUACCGUAAAUAGUUGUAAAUUUUUUUUAAUUUAAUACUUAAUUUUUUUGUCGCACAGUACUAAUAUAACUCAUUAUUGUUCAAUUGCAGGGGCGAUUGGUGCAUGUUUGUAAUAAAGUAUAUUGUGUUUUCGAGUAUAGGACAUAAAGUUGAUGGAAUCAACCAAUCCUGGAUACAAAUUUGGAGAAAUAAGUUAGCGUGCUAUUUGUACGACUUUAGUUAUGAUUUGUAAAUACUGUAAAUAUUUAGUUUUUUAAUUACGAAAUUUUUGUAAACACUGUGAAUAUUGAUUUGUAGAUUGUGAAUGAAUGUAAUUUUAUAUUAUUUUCUGUAUUUAAAUACUUAAUCUAUGAUGUUAAUUAUUUAUUUAAGUAAAUUAUAAUUGAUUAAAUAAAUUAGAAAUAAUUAGUUUGGUACAUGGUGAAUAUUAAAUUCCUAAUUAUUAUUCAUAACCAACUAAAAAUAAACAUUACAUAAGUAAAUUGUAUUACACAUCUAUUGCAUCGUUAUGCAGCGAAAUCUAGUUUGUACAAAAUUGUCGUGUAUUCCCGGUUGUGUCGCACCUACUGUACUUACGAGGUCGAAAAAAUUCUCCAAUAGACGGUAUUCUAGACGUUCGUCUACUUCCAGGGGAUGUGGUCUGACUUCUGGUGGCAACAAAUUAUUCAGUGACAGAAUGUGGUCGGGAUCUUCCCACUCGGCUUCGUUUAGUACAUGGAAUAUUAUUUCAACAUACGAAGCUCUCCAAUAAUCAGUCAUAUAAUAAAUACCGCACAAGGUGUGUGAUGGAAAUUCUCUAUGCAUAGCCACUGUCAUUGCAUGUGCACAUGGAAAACUCUCCAACUGAAACUAUCUAUACGUGCACAUGCUACUAUUCAAGUCCAUAAUGUAUCCGAAAUUACGUGCACAUCUCACGGAGAAGCGGAACUGAUCUAGUGGUUCUACGCGUACCUUUUUCGCCACAUCUAGAGUCUUGAAGAGUUUAUCUUCAUGAACCGGGGUGAGCACACUUGUGCAACUCUGUGAUUCCUCAUGCCGAUCAUGAAAUCACUGUUGAAGCUUAUCAAGAAUGUUCUCAAUCAUUGCAAGAAUUUGUAACUCUUUAUCCUUCUUGAAUAAGGCAUUGAGCGACUCCGCAUUGUUCGACGUCCUGUAAAAUGUGAUCUUGCCCAAUGUUCGAUCCAAUGCUUGUUAAAUACUCUCAUGCAGCAUGCGAUUUACUGUCUAUUUCGAUCAUGAACUUCUCAAGCUCUUCAAAGCUGUAAGCAUCUGCAAUUCUCCUAAACAAUGCAAUGAUGCCCUUACCUCGAUACCUGGUCUUCAAGUUUUCCUGUAUAUGGUACAUACAAUAACUAUGAUGUGCCUCGGGGAAGUCUUCGGCGAUACCAUUUAUUAUUGACUACCCUCGAUCGAUUACGAAUGCAAAGUUCUCGAUGUCCCCAAUUACUUUCUUCAACUUCGUGAAGAACGAAUGCGUCGCUCAAUCAUUCUCUUCAUCGAUUAUGCCGAAUGUAAGAGAGUAAAUGUGGAUGUUGGCAUCUUAACAUAUUGCGAUAAUCAACUUGCCUCAUAUAUAGCCUUAAGGGUUAUACCGUCGACUAGAAUUAGAGGUCGCAUUGCGUUUUGAAAUCCUCGAACACAUUGUCCAAGGGCCAUGAGGAAAUACUUAAAGCGAUUCUUGUCGUUCCUCUCAAUAAAAAAAGUCGAUCCAGUAUUAAUUUUUCCCAUGUUAUAGCAAUAUCUGGCAAAUUUAAAUAAACAAUAAUCAGAAUAAGUAAUUAAAUAUUAAAUAAACAAAAAAAAAGCAAUCAAAAUAAAUAAUUAACAAUUAAAAUAAAUAUUAAAAAAUCAACUAAACAAUAAAAUACCUGACCAAUUUAGCAUAACUCUCCUCGGCCGAACCCAUUAAAUUCUCCAAUGCGCAUUCUUUAGCUUUCCAAGCCUUCUGAUAACUCAUGACCAUCCCGUACUCUCAACGGACAUCAUUAAUGAUGUCCGAAGGUCUGUAGAUCGUUCGUGGGUUUUGAAACUUGUGGAUUAUUUCUCGACCAAUGAACCAUGCUUGGACUUGCCUGUGAUCAUUUUGACGAAUACCCACUUCGCAAGUAUGUUCCUGUGCAUACUUACGAAUUACAAAGAACUCGUUUGUGUCCAUCUUCGUCGCUCGCAAACGCCAGUGACAACUUUCAUCAAUGCAAAUAAUUGUGUAUGUCAACUUAUUCGAUUUCUUCACUUUAAACUCAAAAUUGUGUUUCAAAGCAAUCCAUUACACGGCUUCCUAUAAAUCUUUCUUUGUUUUGAAUAGUUACUCGACAUAUAAAUCUUCGUCAAUGGGAACUAGCCGCGAACAAUUAGUGAACCGUAUACUCGAUCCAGCUUGUGAGCUCUCACCCGACUCACAUCUCCAGAGGGAUAGAACAUUCAAAUCCUCAUUUGUGAAUGCAUUUUCGUUCUUGUUGUCUUCAACUGUUAAUGAAAUUCUGUGCAUAACAGUGAGAUCAUUCACUAUAUUGGGAACAACUGUAUCGAGAAUAACCACAUUGUCCUAAUUAGCUAUCUCCACUGUUUCCCAAAAAUCAUUCACAUUAAGAUCCUCUCCAUCGAAAUCUUCGUGAUCACCCUCGGGGAUGUUCUUCUCUACAAAAGUUACACAAAUAGGAAUCGAACGUUUUUGGUUUAAUUCAAUUAAAAUCUGCAUUUCAAUUUCAAAAGUAACUGUUACAAGUGGAAUUUUCUUGCCGAAUAGAAAUCUCAAUUCCAUGUCGAAUGGAGAGGGAUCGACUUUGAGCGUGUUCUGCAACUCAUUGUAGAUUUCUGUAUACGAUGUACUUGAUGUUAUCAGAAUUGCAGUAGAACCGCAUCUUUCACUCGUCCAUUUCCACACACAUUGAUCAUUUUUCUUUAUUUCAAAUUCACCAAACUAACAAAUCGGGACUGCAGCCGACGGCAUAUCUGCAUUAGGAAACGACGAUUUAUUAAAAAAAUUGUAAAUACGUGGAAAAAAGAAGUAACAAAUUGAAAACAGCAGACUAACAGCUGACUUCUUAAUAGUUAGCAUCGAUUUGAUUUUUCAAUUUUUCAGAUAAAAUUUUUUUGUCGUUCUUGCAAAAAAAAAAAACUACAAAUCAAUUUAAAAUUGUAAAAAUUUAUCUGUCUAUGUCGAAAUAAAAUUUAAAGAUUCAAACAAUAUACUGAUUUAGCUAUAAUAAAAUUAAAAAUACAUAAAAUAUACUUACCAAUUUCGAGUGAUGGUUGUGAAUAUUAUUUUCUUGUUGAGCUUUUGAUAAUUUUGUGAGAUCUCAAUGUUCAAACAUAUGAAAAAUGAACUUUCCUUUUAUCCGUGUUGCAGAAAUUUAUAAUGAAACUGAUUUGGUUUUGAGAUUUACGUGGAAGUGUUUGUAAUUUAUUAGUUAUUACAAAGGGGUACUAUUGUCUUUUUAACAACCAUACAUUUUUGUAACUACAUGGGCAAAACUGUCAUUUAUAUUUCAAAGGGCCAUUGUGGUGAAUGUGAAAAAUGAAUUGGUUGAUGUGGCAAAGUGGUUAUUUGACUUGUUUAAUUUGAAAAGUACCCCAAAACAAAGUAGAACUCAACUUAUAGAAGUAGAAUACUACAUUCUCUUUAAUCGACUUCCAGAUAAUGCGAGUCAUUUAAUCACCUACCUAAUGUUCUCCUCUAGAAUAAAUAUGUAAAUAUGACCCCGUUCUGAAUAGUCUAAUAGAAUCAACUGCAUGCGUGCUCACUCUUACGAGAUAUUUGAUUUAUUCUGUAAUUGUGGACCUCUAUACUCAUGUGCAAGUUUCAAAGAAAACAACUAAAAACGGAUAGGUUCAAAUGAACACAAAUAAUAUCUUUUAAUCUUUGUUUCUUAAACUAAUUUGAGUCCUUUUAUACACUAAAUUUUAGGUAAUAUUAGUUUUUGAGUGAUUUGAGUCAAAUAUUAUGGCUCCUAAAUAUGCGUUUGAAGCUCAGGAAAAAAGAAAAAGAAGAGAAAGAGUAGAGGCAUUAAUUCAAAGUCAGACUAGAGAUAUGGACAAGUAUUUUAACGGCAAGAAAAGAAAAGAGAGGGAAGAAACACCAAAUAAUUUAGUGAUUGAAGAACAUAAUAAUCAGAAUGACAAUAGUAAUGUGUCUGAACCCAAAGAGAACGAGAAAAUGAUUAAACGUACCACUAUGAAUGAAUCAAAGCAGAAUGAAGAAGAUAGAGUUCAACAUGAAGAUUUAAAUUAGGAGGUUUUUUUCUUUGAAAAGUAUAGAGAAUCUGAAUUUGUUAAUGUUACAUGUUGACACACUUAACCGACCCACUGGAGCCCAUGACCCACUUCUAUUGAACCACGUGGCAUCUUAUCUGAGCCCCUUAGGCCAACAGGAGUUGACCAGCAUACUAUAACAACGCUAGACGUGGCCUAAAUACUGACGCCGAAGCUAAUAUGCCAAGGUGAUCUUGAAGCCGAGGCCCUUCCCUCCAAGGCCAGGUCUUGAGGCUCUAAGCAGCACUUCUCCUUAGAGAUUUGGUCUUACACAAUGAUCCUUCCUAAUUGAUUGAUGGGACACCAUCAUAGAGUGCAAAUGUCUUGUCUUGUCAAUGUAGUAGUAGAGUCGUUGAUUAAUAAAUGUAUAGCAGGCUAGGAAGUCAAGUGUGAUACCUAUAAUUUGACAUGUAGACUUACAAGAUGAAGCCACGUGUACUCCCAACCAAGGGCCACGAUCUAAGUUGUAAUACUAUAAAUACUCUCCUAUGCAUCUCUCACAGGGGUAAUGCAAGAUUCAAUAGAAGAACAAAUACAAUAUUCUUUACAUUUUACUCUCUUGCAACAUACACGCAUUCUACAAACGUCGAUUGAUAAUUACUGCACAAUCAUUAUGCAAAUAUUUCGCCAGAUUCCGAACGUUCUCAUCUCGCGCCUUUGAGCCACUCCCAUGCUCCCUUUUAAGUACUAGUUCUAGACCGUCCACGUAUCUUAGAGUAUUGGACCAGUCUUAUGUGUGCGCGGGUGGAUUUGGUAUCUGUUGGCAACAUAUUCUACGGUCAACAGAUUGAUGUCGUCUGUGGGAAGCCAUACUAUAACCAUGAACAACCGUGUAGUGAAAGCUUAUCGAAAAGGAUAUUUGGGCUUUCCACUUGAAAAAUGUUUUGUCCUUGGAAAAGAACAAGUGGAAGCUCCAUAAUUUAGCAACAAUUUGAAUUUGGAACAGAAGAGAAUGAGUUCAGACGAGGAUAUGCACCCUAGGAGGGUAAGACAAAAUGUAGGAAUGCCCCCACCGACAGCUGCCCCUGCAUCUCGACAUUAACCUUACCACCAUCACAGAAAAGGUGGCAAGCAGAUGAUCGCUCAGUUGUCAAAAGAGAUGGCCACCAUGGCCGCAAAUAUGAAGGACAUUGCUAGCCAAAACAUGGCCAUGAGAGAACUCAUGGACCAAAUGCAGAGCCAAGGAUGCUUUCCUAUUCCCCCAUAUGCACCCCAAGGACAUUACCAACAAGAUGAGGAAGUCCAGAGCCAAAGGGUUGUAUCACUAGAAUACAACUGAGACAUGAGAGGGAAGUAGAAGUUGAUAUUUUCUCCAAUUAUGCUGCAGGCGACCCACCGAGGCCCGAUAUAACCAGGAAAACUUUCCACUAGCAUAUGAGCCAGAGCAAAGACCUAGGAGGUCUAACAGUGUCUUUGACAGAAUUAGCCCAGUGGAAUCGAGGCACAGGCAGCAGCAACAAUAGCAACGAUACCCUCAGAAUAGACCACAGUCACCACCUCCAAUGACUCAUCAGCCAGAGGAAAGGUAUGAAAAUGCCUCCCUUGCUGCUUUACCUAAAAAUAGGCGCAGGACUCAAGCUGGACCCUCUCAUCAACCACUCAGGUAUGAGGCCAAAGAGAACAAUGACUCAGAUGAGCGGCAAAAGUCUUAUGACUUGGACGACGACGAUGAAAAUCUCCCAUUUUCAAGGAAACUGAGAAGUGCCCAGGUUCAGAGCCACUAUGUGAUGCCCAAAAUACCAAAGUAUGAUGGGAGAGGCGACCCGGAGAAUCACCUAAGCGCUUAUAAAAGUCAUAUGAGCCUUUGAGGUGCCACCCCAGCUGUGAAAUGUAGAGCUUUUCAUUUGACACUUAGUGGAGUGGCUGAAAUCUAGUAUAGUCGACUGCCACCCGGGAGCAUAAGGAGUUGGCAAGAGUUCAAGAACACGUUCCUAAAAAGGUUUGUAGUAAGCAAAGAGGUAGAAGCCCCCUAUCCAGCGCCUUCAAGACAUGAGGCAGGCGCAUGGAGAAUCCCUAAAAAGAUUUUUAUCAUGCUUUAUUGACGAAAUGACUUACUACAUCCAAGUCACCGAUCGUGAGGCUUUAUCAACCCUAAGAGGAGGUCUAAAUAUGAACACCCCAUUUUGGAAGGAUGUGCAAAACCAAGAUCCCACCACUUAUGAUGCCCUGUUGGAAAUGAUGAGGUGGGAGAUCAUCAAUGAAGCGCUAAUUGAACGCGAAAAUUGGGCCAACAAAUGCCUCCCACCUCAACAAAGACAGCGCGCUAGGGGAUCGACCUCCUACUUGAUGGACUACCAGAUGAACUCGCUUGGUAAUGGAAAUUCAGGGCAAGCACUUGCCACAACCAUUUUGAAUGCAGUCUCAACUUUGGCAUAUGAAGAUGUCAACCCAACUAUCACUGACCCGCAAGCAUGAACUUCACAACAGGCCCUUCGUAGAGGAAGAGGCCGGGGGCACGGUUCAGGGCCUAGGAAUAGGCCUAAUCAAAACCUCUCGAUUAUUGUACGUACCACCACUCAUACGGUCAUGACAUGUCCGAGUAUCAGAAGUAUGCAUACCACAAUCGAUGGGAACACCAUCAAGAUAGGAGGAAUGAGUCGCCACAUGCAAACAAGGCCCCGCCUAGAAAUGACCAAUGACCUAGGCGUAAGGAGGUCGCGCCCCGCCAGCGAGAUGUAUCUCCCCGUCGAAGGGAACAUGACGUGGGGAGACCCAGGGAAGGACAUAGGCAUCGUGGAAAUCGCCAUGCACAAGAAAAGGCCCCUAUUCACGAGAUAGAUACCAUAUUUGGAGGCCCCUACGUGGAAGGUGAGACUCAGAACGCAAAAUAAAACUAUGCCCGAGAGGCCAAACGCCUCCCACUAACUAGUUAUAUCGUGGACAGUAGCUCUCGAAGAAACAAAGUACCACCCAUCAUCUUCACCCAAGAGGACUCUGAAAAGGGGUUCACUAUCCCCAUUGUGAUGCACUUGUGGUAAGGGCCGUUGUGGCCCGAAAUGGGCACAAGCAAAUGCUAGUAGACAAUGGCAGCUUCGUUAACAUCCUGUUCGGAUCCACCUUUGAUAAGAUGAUCCUGGACCACGAGCUAACGCCCACCACCACUUCUCUGUACGAAUUUACCAGAGAUAGUAUCACUUCAAGAGGAAAAAUAACAUUGACAUUAGAGAUGGGAGAGUCCCGAAAACCACCAUGAACUUUAUUGAAUUCCUUAUUGUAGACAGUCGGUCAGCCUGCUACGGAGUCUUGGAUAAACCAGCCCUGAAGGAGUUAGGGGCCGUCACCUCCAUCCACCACUUGUGCAUGAAACUCCCGAUUGAGAACGAGAUGAUAACAGUGAGAAGUGACCAAAGAGGGUCCAGAGAAUGCUACCUAGGCUCCAUCAGAAAGGUUGAGCCUCGAGAGCUACAUGCCUCCUGACUGAUGUGAAUAUGGCAAACGUCCCAAGCGAGGCCCCUCCCGAACAAGAGGAUGUUAACAUGAUUGACGCACCUCCCGAGCAAGAAGAACUCUUCCUGAUCGAUGAGAUCGAUCCCCGUGUGAUUGAACACGAACCCCAAACAACUCCAGUUGAGGAACUAAAAAGCUUCCCAGUCGACCCCUGUAACCCCGCGAAGGUGUUGAAAGUAGGCAUAGGCCUGGGCAACGACAUGAAAGAAAAAUUGAAAAAAAAUUCUCUGCAAGAAUCUUGACGUCUUUUCUUGUAGGCAUGAAGACAUGGUGGGCAUAGACCAUAAGGUCAGUUGUCACCACCUAAAGAUAGAUCCUAAGGCUAUUCUGCACUAACAGAAGAGAAGAGCCCUCAACUUCGAAAGGUAUGAAGCUUUGAAGGAAGAAGUGCAGAAGCUAAUCAAAAAUGGCUUGAUCAAAGAGGCCAUCUACCUGAAGUGGGCCUCCAACCCGAUGCUAGUCAAGAAGCACAACGGUAAGUAGAGGGUAUGUAUUGAAUUUACGAAUCUCAACAAGGCAUGCCCUAAAAACAGCUUCCCACUUCCAAGAAUUGAUCAAUUGGUAGACUCCACUGUCGAUUAUGAGCUCCUGAGUUUCAUGGACGCCUACUCUGGCUAUAACCAAAUACCCAUGUACCCGGUUGGUUAUGCCCUUUGGGUUGGAAAACGCCAGGGCCACUUAUCAAAUGCUUGUCAAUAAAAUAUUUGUGGACCUCAUUGGCAAGACAAUGGAAGUGUACGUGGACGAUAUGCUCGUGAAAAACCUAAAGACAGACAACCAUGUGACGCAUCUGGAUGACACUUUUCGAACACUUAGAAGGUAUAUGAUGAAGCUCAAUUCCUUCAAGUGCACUUUUGACGUUGCCUUCGGCAAAUUUCUAGGGUACAUAGUCAACCAAAGAGAGAUUGAAGCCAAUCCCGAAAAGAUCAAUGCCUUGCUGGAGAUGAGAUCACCCCAGAAACCCAAGGAAGUCCAAAGCCUAACGGGACGAGUAGCAGCUCUCAGCCACUUUAUCUCCAAAGCACUGAUAAAUGCCCCUCGUUCUUCAAAAUAUUGAAAAUUGGGAAGAAGUUCGAAUUGAAUGAGGAGUGUGAAGAGGCCUUCCAGGCCUGAAAAGGCAUCUAGGGUAGGCCCCCCUCCAAACCAAAGUUCGGUGAUAUCCUUCAGCUAUACCUGGCCAUCUCCAAUGAAGCCAUCAACAUGGUCCUAACUCGAGAGGAAGGAGCUACCCAACUCCUCGUGUACUAUACUAGAAAAGCACUCCUAUCUCCAGAAACUUGCUAUCCUGAUAUGGAGAAGCUAGCAUUAGCCUUGAUCACAGCUUCUAGGAAGCUGAGGCCUUACUUCUAGGCACACACCAUUCACGUGCUAACCAACUUCCAUUUGAGGUAAGUGCUACAGAAGCCGAAUGCCUCAAGAAGACUACUGAACUAGGCAGUGGAGUUAAGUGAAUUCGACAUUGUCUUUAAGAUAAGGGCAGCCAUCAAAGGCCAAGCUUUAGCUGAUUUUGUAGCAGAGUUCGCUAAUAUACCCGGGGUGGAAGAGGUUAUGGAACCUGUUGAGCCCUCUACGUGGAACUUGUUCGUGGAUGGUUCGGCUGGACACAUGGGUUCGAGAACUGGAGUAGUCCUUGUCAGCCCAGAAGGUCACAAGUUGAACUCAAUCGUGCGGUUCAGAUUCAAGGCCACCAACAACGCUGUUGAGUAUGAGGCAUUCCUCACUGGCCUCAGAUUAGCCAAAGAAAUACAAGGAGGCUACGUAUCAACAGUGACUCCUAGCUAGUGGUAAGCCAAGUGAGUGGCAGUUUUUCAACUAAGGAUAAAACGAUGGCCUCCUACUUGAAGAUGGUGACGAACCUCCUCACAUCUUUUGAAAAAUUUGAAAUAAUGUAGAUCCCUCGUCUCAAAAAUACACAUGUAGAUGCACUUUCUAAGCUCGCAAGCAGCAAGGACUCCGAACUACUUGCAAUGGUACCAAUUGAGUACAUCUUCACAUCGUCUACCGAGGCCCCUGAAGUGAUGUGGGCCGAAGGAACCCCCACCUAAAUGCAACCUAUCAUAGCCUACCUAAAGGACCAGAUCCUACUCACUAACAAAGAUUAGGCCUACAAACUGAGAAUGAGGUCAGCUCAUUUCCUCUUCAUUGAUGACGUACUUUACAAAAGAAGCUUCUCCUCCCCACUUCUUCGCUGUGUUCGGGAAGACAAGGCCACCUAUAUUCUAAGGAGAUCCAUGAAGGGGUUUGUGGCAAUCACUCAGCAGGACUAGCCUUGGCAUAAAAGGUACUGAGGCAAGGGUACUACUGGCCCACCUUGAAAAAGGAUGCGCUUCAAUUCGUACGCAAGUGUCACAAGUACCAACGAUUCUCUUCCAUGCAGAGACAACCCUCGCAGGGGCAAAUUGUCGUUUCCAGCCCACGACCCUUCUUCAAGUGGGGCGUAGACCUGGUAGGUCCCCUACCUAAAGGUAGAGGAGGCGCGAACUUCGCUAUUGUGGCCAUUGAUUACUUCACGAAGUAGGUUGAGGUCGAACCGCUAGCAAAAUCACAGAAGCAAACACCUCCAAAUUCUUUUGGAAGAACAUCAUAUGCCAUUUUGAAAUUUCCCACUCCAUAGUUUCAGACAAUGGAAGGCAGUUCGACAAUAAAAAAGUCAGGAGCCUAUGCGAAGAACUCGAAAUCAAGGAGCACUUCUCAACGCCUCACCAUCCUCAAGCCAAUGGCCAAGUUGGGGCUGUAAACAAGACGAUCAAACAUGUCCUCAAAAGGAAACUGGAUACAUCAAAGGGAGCCUAGGUUGAUUAGUUGCCUUAAGUGCUUUGGGCAAUCCGAACUACCACCAAAUCUCCCACGGGAGAAACUCCUUUCCUUAUGGCAUAUGGUACCGAAGCCAUGAGCCCCGUUGAGGUCGGCUUACCAUCAUCACAUUGCCUAUAUUUCAGCGAACUAACUAAUGACGAACUACGGAGAUUCAACCUCGACUUUAUUGAUGAGAGAAGAGAUGACUCCCGGCUGAGGCUCGCUACUUAUCGAAAAUGACCAAAUACUUCAAUUCCAAGGUGAAGAAGAGGUCCUUUCGAAUCAAUGACCUGGUCCUUAAGAGAGUCUCCCCCUCUUCCAAAGGACCUGGCGAAGGCACCUUGGGUCCAAACAGGAAAGGUCCCUAUAGAGCCAAAGAAGAACUCCGACCCAGUACCUACAAAAUUGAAGACAUGGAUGGCAGAGCACAGCCUCGCCCAUGGAACAUUGAACAUCUCAGAAUUUACUACCAAUGAAUAUACUGCAUCACUAAACGAUCUUUCCCAGCUUAUGUAAUUGAUUUUCUGCUUCAAUAAAAUGUCAUUAAAAUUCAAUGCGACUCUCCAAAUGUGGGAGCCUCGGAGGAGAGGUCCUGGUUCCUAACUCUAGGGUCACCUCGCCCGAACUCCGAGGCUCACUCCACAUGCCUACCUUUGGCGAGGCUGAAUGCCAAAGGAAGAAGCCUCUACAUGGUUGCACAAUCCACCAUGUAGAGAAGUGUGGGAGUUUCGGAGGGGAGGUCCUGAUUCCCAACUCUAGGGUCACCUCAUCCAAACUUCGAGGCUCACUUCACAUGCCUACCUUUUGGUGAGACUGAACGCCAAAGGAAAAAGCCUCUACAUGGUCGUACCAUCCACCAUAUAGAGAAGCGUGGGAGUCUCUGAGGAGAGGUCCUGAUUCUCAACUAUGGGAUCACCUUGCCCGAACUCCGAGGCUCACUCCACAUGCCUACCUUUUGGUGAGGCUAAACGUCAAAGGGAGAAGCCUCUAUAUGGCUGCACCAUCUACCAUGUAGAGAAGUGUGGGAGCCUCGACAGAGAGGUCCUGAUUCCCAACUCUGGGAUCACCUCGUCUGAACUCCGAGGCUUUACCUCCCUAAUUCGAACUCAAUGGAAAGUUCUAGUCAAAUAACUUAUUCAGUUUACAUUGAAUACUUCAUUCAACUUGGACAUCGUGGUUUAUUUCAAGUGAUGGAACCUAAGUGCAACCCGUUAAGUCAUCAUUUAUAUAGCUUGAUUAUUAACUUAUCCUUAAGCUUGAUUAUUACAAGUAAUGGAAGUUAAGAUGUCAAGUUCGGAUUGUUAACUCAGACUUAUACUGGAUUAUUUACCAAGGUCCAUGUACUAUCAUUGACUUUCAUUGACAUUGAAUAUUGAAAAGACGUGAUGUUGCAAAACAUUGACUUUCAUUGACAUUGAAUAUGAUAUUACAAGAGGAGGGCCUGAGGCUAGUACCUUAGAAUGAAUUGAAAGUAAACUAUGCUACUUAGGCAGAUGGUGGCGGUGCCUCGGCAACAGGCACCUUCGUAGCUUGAGUUUCAGAAGUGUCUGCUUCCUUAUCCUCGAUCGCUUCAUCACCGACUGCUUCCUCAGUAGGCGUCUGAGGAACUUCAUCAACAAACACCACCCUUGGUUGUGAUAGGUCGACAUUCGGGAGAAGCUCCUCAGCCCUAUCUAGCACCUCAGCAUAGGCAAAGUUCCUCCAAUACAAAUCGAAGUGCUAAUACUCCUCGGUGAGGUGGAAGUUGGUAAUGUAAUCCUUAACUACCUCCUCCCUCACCACCUGGGCCUCCUCCCUUGCCCUCUUCAGCUUGUCGACGUGCCAUUUUAUUUGGCCUUCCAAAAAUUUGUACACAUCAUUGGCCCCGAUCAGCUCUAAAUUGGCCUGCUCUAGGGCCUUAGCUGUCACCUUCUGGUAAGUAUUAGAAAUCUCCACUUUCUCAGUGAGGGAGGCUACCUCACAUUGAGACUCGUACACUUCUUUCUUCAAAACCUCAAUUUGGGCCAAGGCGGAUUCCAACUUGGUAGCAUCUUCAAUCUUUUGGGCCUUCAUCUCCUCUGCCUCAGCCCUUAUUUUCUUCAGUUCCUCCUCAGUGGAGGCCAACUUGUCCCUGGAGGACUUAUUCCUCGUCUGAAAGUCGACGAGCAUUUCCUUGCACUCAAGUGCGAGGCCCAAAGUCCUCACACUUUGGCUCACCAAAGCCCUAGUGAGGUCCACUGCAUCGCAACUUGAGGCAUGCAUCUAUUACCGAUCGGUCCAGAACUUGUAAAAACUUUCUAUGGCACUUCGAACCUCAGCAGGUAACGCAUCCAACAAAGCUGGCGCUAGCACCUUACCACGCAUAGCCAGAAAAUUGAGGGGCUUCCUUUGAGUCUUGGCUGGCCUCUGCUUAGCCGUCUCUUCCUCGACUUCCUCUGCUGCCAUCCUGGCAGCUUCCUCCCUGGCCUCCUCAGCCUCAGCUUUCCUCACCAUUUCAACUUUCACUGCUUUCAUGGCAGAGUCUAGCAGCUUCGACUAAAGAGGGGUAUUCUUGCUCGAAUGGGACACUGAUGUCCCGAACUUUUUGAAAGAGCUAGUGACGGAGCCAGCCUCCUCUUCUUAUGGGAGUCCUCGAAGACCUUUUCUUUGCCCCGAGGCUCCUUUGCCUUCUCAGACUUUUGGGGGGCCUCCUCUCUGGACCUCCGAGAGGUGCUAUCCUUGGACAACCUCUCCAGCUGACCCCUGACCUCCUUUGACACACUGGAGCUCGACUUUAGAGGCCUCGCCCCAGCUGUGGAGAUAGCUCUUAGAAUUGAAGCCAUGUCUGGGACGGGGCACUCCCUUCUCUUGAACUUAUCUAUGAAGACACAAUAGGUCAGCACUGAAUAUCAAUCAAGUACAAAUUUGAUCAAAUGGACGCAUUUCUUAUCCUUGGAAGCCAUCAGUUCGAAAUCUACAAGUAUCGAUUUCGGUUAAUGAGGUGAUAGAAGUGGCGAAGCUUCAAAGGCUACUUAUAUAUGUCCUCUAUAACCUCGAACUUUCCCUUGCUAAGCUCAAAUCUCGUACUAGAAUUUGCAAAAUAAGUGGCAACAGUUAGCAAAAAGUUGAGAAACUUAGCAAAAUGUAAACAUCUUCAGCUUGGACACUCACGAGCUUCGUAGUAUUGGGUCGGUACUGUGUAAGCCACGGCCUUGUCCCCCUCAAUCUCCUACCACUUUUUUCGAAUCCAAAACCACGACUCUUUCCAUCCUUUGAUAGAAGAAAGCAGGCCCACCAUGAAAGGUGCGUGAGCUCCCCAAGGUGUGAUGUAAUGCCAUCCUUUCAACUCGUCUUUACCUAAGACGCGAGGUUGAAAAAUGGUCUAAAAGACGUGCAGAGGCAUAUCCACCUCUAAAAAUACUUCUUUCCACAAGAAAUACGAUCCUACUAACUGGCACCACCCAUUCAACGGAACCUGGGUCGGUGACAACAAAAAUUCCUAAGCACAGCCCUAAAGAAGGGGUGCAGAGGAAGAUGCAUACCUGCUUUGAACAGGUAUUCACUCAUAGCCACACAUCUAGGCCUCGAAAAACAAGCCCUUUUGUGGGCCUCUGGGACUAACAUCUCCACGUAAUAAGGGACGCAAUAUUUUUCCCUAAUUUCCUCCAACUUCUUCAAGGUCAUGUUUGACGCUAUCCUAGUAGCCCUCCAUUCUUCCUCAUAAUAUAUAGGCUUGUCGGCCAUGGCAUAAUACUCCAUCUCAGAAUCCCUACUCAGAAUAGCCCCCUCACCCAACCUAGCUAUGGUCACCAAUUCCCUACCCGAAGUGGACUCCAUAUCAAAAAGUUUGGAAAAUCAACAAAGAUCGCAAAAGAAAUGAUUCUUGCAAGGAAUACCUACAGAAAUGACUAACAAAUGAGGAACUGUGAAAUACCGGAGUUUGAAAUCGAAGCAAGACUUUGGACGUUGAAAACUUGAGGAAAUGCAAACAACACAGAAAUCAAAUGAUGAAGAAGGGUUCAAAAUAGAAGUCUUUGACCUUUUAUAGGAAGCCAAGACGAACCCCAGCCCUUGGAUGAAGGCUCCUUAAAUCUUAACCCUUCAAUUCUGAGUUAAAUUCGAAGCGUAGAAUUCAAAUCAUUUUGAAAUCUAUGCCUCAGAUUCAAAUUUGCUCCUCAUGCACCUCUCCAAACGCGUCUCCUUCUAGAAGCCCCAACUGUGGCAUCAUUGCACAAUCAAUGCAGCAGCCGUACAUGCCUUGGAAGUCGAAACGGUUUGGCUGCCUUUUCUUGGUGACAUGCACAAAACAUCAAAUCAUUGGCACAAAUAUCGAAGACAAUCAUAACUAUUCACAAGCCUCGACAGGUUCGAUCCACUUCACCUCCUUGGCUCUUCUCCUGCUUCUUCACAGUUCAGCCACAUCUUCACAAGCCUUAGCAGGUUCGAUCCACUUCACUGCCUUGACUUCUUCUUCUACUUCUUCGCAAUUCAGCCACAUCUUCACAAGCUUUGGUAGGUUUGAUUCACUCACUACCUCGACUUCUUUGUCACCUUUUCCAAUCAUAGCAAUACCACCACUUUCAACUCCAACCAUGAUAUAAAUAGCUAUACUUGGACUUGGAGGACUAUUACUUAAGGUACAAAAAAUUCUUUCAAUUUUCACCCCACACGCCUCACCAUAAAAAGUCCACGCAUUACAUAAAUUACCAUACUUGGAUUUGGAGAACUAUUGUUACUUGUUGACACACUUGACCGACCCACUAGAGCCCAUGGCCCACUUCUGUCGAACCACGUGACAUCUUAUCCGAGGCCCCUAGGCCAACAGGAGUUGAUCAAUAUACUAUAACAAUGCCAGACGUGGCUUAAGUGCUGACGUCGAAGCUAAUAUGCCGAGGUGAUCUUGAAGCCGAGACCCUUCCCUCCAAGGCCAGGUCCUGAGGCCAAUCCUCCCCGAUUGAUUGAUGGGACACCCAUCAUAGAGUGCAAAUGUCUUAUCUUGUCAAUGUAGAGGCAGAGCCGUCGAUUAAUAAAUGUAUAUCAAGCUAGGAAGUCAAGUGUGAUACAUAUAAUUUGACAUGUAGACUUACGAGAUAAGGCCACUUGUACUCCCAACCAAGGGCCACGAUCUAAGUUGUAAUACUAUAAAUACUCCCCUAUGCAUCUCUCACAUGGAUAAUGCAAGAUUCAAUACAAGAACAAAUACAACAUUCUUUACAUUUUACUCUCUUGCAACAUACAUGCAUUCUAUAAACAUCGAUUGGUAAUUACUGUACAAUCAUUAUGCAAACAUCUUGUUGGAUUCCGAACGUUCUCGUCCCACGCCUUUAAGUCGCUCCCACGCCCCCUUUUCAGUACUAGUUCUAGACCGUCCACGUGUCUUAGCGUGUUGGACCAGGCUUACGUGUGUGCGGGUAGGUCCGGUAUCUGUUGGCAACAUAUUUUGGGGUCAACAGUUAGUACCAGGGAUUUAGCUAAACAAAUC